UAGUGAGUGCUUGGUGGUUGUCUACUCACGGACAGAAAAUUAUGCUACUUGGAAGGCAAAGUUUUACUAUAAAUAUUCAACUUUAACCUCCAGAACGUACUGUCACCUGCGAUGUGGUGUACUGUCGUGUGCUAGAUAUGUGUGUUGGAUAUUGUUCAGAGCUGCUGAAGUGAUAUAGGGGCAAAUUGAUUUUGGAAACUUGGAGAGUAGUAAAGGAGGUUGUUUCGAUACUCAUAAAAUUAACAUUACUAUUCCUCGUGUCUAGUCGUUUCGAAUAUCCCACGUUUCACAGACGUUUGUUCGAUUAUGUUGAUUUUCGCUGCAAAGGGCUGUUUUCAAAUAUUUUGAAUGCGCGUUUUGAAUUGUAUUCUUGCUAAUGGUGAACAGUAAAGGUGAUCGCAUUUCAAACUAAAAACAGUGCCGUUUAUGAAAUGUUGACUUGAAGUUAUUUUGAUUCUAUACAGACAAGACGGCUGAUAUGACCAUAGUUGCGAGAUAUGAAUUUUAUCCUUAGGGAAUUGGCCAGAGGCAGAUCAGAAUGUAUUUUGAAAGUGUUUUGCAAGAACAUAAAAUCUUGCAUAAAUCAUUGAAAAUCGUGCUUAAAUCAUCUGAGUGAAUUUGCUCGUAAUCCUUUCACACUGUCAGCAAACCUCGUGACGAUAUUGACAUCUUC